rnacentral:rRNA from 1 species
CUGGCGGCGUGCUAAUACAUGCAAGUCGAGCGAAGCAUGUGACGGAAGUCCCCUCCGGGAGGAAGAUGACAUGACUUAGUGGCGGACGGGUGAGUAACGCGUGGGCAAUCUGCCCUGUACAGGGGGACAACAGUUGGAAACGACUGCUAAUACCGCAUAAGCGCACGAUGACCGCAUGGUCAGGUGUGAAAAGGAGCAAUCCGGUACAGGAUGAGCCCGCGUCCGAUUAGCCAGUUGGCGGGUAACGGCCCACCAAAGCUACGAUCGGUAGCCGACUUGAGAGAGUGAUCGGCCACAUUGGGACUGAGACACGGCCCAGACUCCUACGGGAGGCAGCAGUAGGGAAUAUUGCACAAUGGGGGAAACCCUGAUGCAGCGACGCCCGCGUGAGUGAAGAAGCAUUUCGGUGCGUAAAGCUCUAUCAGCAGGGAAGAUGAUGACGGUACCUGACUAAGAAGCCCCGGCUAACUACGUGCCAGCAGCCGC